UUCCAGACUCCUACGGGAGGCAGCAGUGGGGGAUAUUGCACAAUGGGGGGAACCCUGAUGCAGCGACGCCGCGUGGGUGAAGAAGCGCCUCGGCGCGUAAAGCCCUGUCAGCAGGGAAGAAAAUGACGGUACCUGAAGAAGAAGCCCCGGCUAACUACGUGCCAGCAGCCGCGGUAAUACGUAGGGGGCAAGCGUUAUCCGGAUUUACUGGGUGUAAAGGGAGCGUAGACGGCGAAGAAAGUCUGAAGUGAAAGCCCGCGGCUUAACCGCGGAACUGCUUUGGAAACUUUUUUGCUGGAGUACCGGAGAGGUAAGCGGAAUUCCUAGUGUAGCGGUGAAAUGCGUAGAUAUUAGGAGGAACACCA
rnacentral:rRNA from 1 species